AUGUUCAAAGCAAAGAUUCCCUCCACCCACCAUGCCACCAGUGCCACAUGGAGCAAGUGGAUUGCCCUUAUUACGCAGCGCGCCCGGAUUGGAAAAUUGAAUCGCCCUGGGAUUUUGGAGAUAAUUACAAACUGGCCUGAAGGUGAAAACUUUAGUCUUGCAGAUGAAGAGGAGGAAGUGGCACAUGCUGAAGAAGUGCCACCAUAUAACCAACUGCCAGCAGAAGAAACACACUAUGCUCUUUUCACUGAUGGCUCUUGCCACAUUGUAGGAAUGAAACGGAAGUGGAAAGCAGCCGUAUGGAGUCCCACACGACGAGUUGCGGAAGCUACUGAAGGGGAAGGUGGAUCGAGUCAAUUUGCUGAACUCAAAGCGGUUCAACUGGCCCUGGACAUUGCUGAAAGGGAGAAGUGGCCAAAACUCUACCUCUACACUGAUUCAUGGAUGGUAGCCAAUGCUCUGUGGGGGUGGCUGGAGAGGUGGAAGAAAGCUAAUUGGCAGCGUAGAGGAAAACCAAUUUGGGCUGCUGAUGAGUGGAAAAACGUUGCCACCAGGGUAGAGAAGCUACCGGUGAAAGUUCGUCAUGUAGAUGCCCAUGUCCCCAAGAGCAGAGCCAAUGAGGAACACCAAAACAACCAGCAAGUAGAUUGGGCUGCAAAGAUAGGGGUAUCAAAGAUAGACUUGGAUUGGCAACACAAAGGGGAAUUGUUCUUGGCACGAUGGGCCCAUGAUGCCUCAGGCCAUCAGGGUAGAGAUGCCACUUUUAAGUGGGCACGAGAUCGAGGGGUGGAUCUAACCAUGGACAGUAUAUCUCAGGUAAUCCACGACUGUGAGACAUGUGCUACCAUCAAACAGGCCAAGCGGGUAAAGCCCCUGUGGUACGGUGGGCGGUGGUCCAAGUACAGAUAUGGGGAGGCCUGGCAGAUUGACUACAUCACACUGCCCCAGACACGCCAUGGCAAGCGUUAUGUGCUCACAAUGGUAGAAGCCACCAUGGGAUGGUUGGAAACCUACCCUGUGCCUCAUGCUACGGCCCGUAACACCAUCCUAGGCCUUGAAAAGCAAAUUCUUUGGAGGCAUGGUACCCCUGAGAGGAUUGAGUCCGACAAUGGAACUCAUUUCAAGAACAGCCUUAUCAACACUUGGGCUAGGGAACAUGGCAUUGAGUGGGUGUACCAUAUUCCCUACCAUGCACCAGCUGCAGGAAAAGUAGAGAGGUACAAUGGAUUGUUGAAAACCACACUGAAAGCAUUGGGUGGGGGAUCUCUCAAGAAUUGGGAACAGAAUCUGGCAAAAGCCACCUGGCUAGUUAACACCCGAGGCUCUACCAGUCGAUGGGGCCCUGCCCAGUCUCAGCUUUUGAAUAUAGUAGAUGGAGACAAAGUCCCAGUAGUGCAUGUUAGAGUCUUGUUAGGAAAGACAGUGUGGAUCAAUUCUGCCUCAAGUACGGACAAACCCAUUCGUGGGAUUGUCUUUGCUCAGGGACCAGGUUGUACAUGGUGGAUAAUGCAGAGAGAUGGAAGAACACGAUGUGUACCUCAGGGAGAUCUGAUUGUUGGGUGAGAACUAUGUAUAAAUAUCACUGUUUGCUGAAUACUGCUGCCAUUGUCUGUGUAUAGUUGUAUAUUAGAUGUAUAAUGUAUCUAUUUAUAGGGUUUGAAUAUAUAUAUUAGUUUUAGUAGUAAGCUGACGAUAUGGGGAUAAGGGGUGGAAUGUCCUAGGGUGGCUGUAUGAUGCCUUUAUCCCCAAUCGUCUGCCCUGUUUAUGUUGAAGUCUUGUUCCAAGAGUGAAAGGAGGAGGGAAGAAGCUCAGGUUAGUUUUAGCUAGCUGAGGCAGAGAAGUUCCCUGGACUGUGGUUUUUUUCCCUUUCUCUGGACCUGCUCUGGACUGAACACCAGGAGAGCAUCAGCAGCUCACAUCUGUGGCCCAGCGGGCUGGGCCUGGGCCGCGGCAUUGCCAGCGCCGGAGGGACUGAUCAGAGACUGAGUGAGCUGAGCUGCAGCCCGGGGGGAUUUGCUCUGAAUUUGUCUCUCUUGGAGUGGCAAGAAGUCUUAUUGUUUAAUAUUGUCUAAGUUCUCUUGUGUAAUAAACAGUUUUUUUCCA